rnacentral:rRNA from 1 species
AUGUACGCAAUUGGUACUGUUCUAGCACCAACAGCACAACAUUAUGUGGACUCGAAAUAUCUCAACCUUGUUACAGAUCUUCAAAACCUUCGGAAAUUUAACUGGGGAUGUUUCACACUUAAUCACUUCUUCAAGUCCGUUCACAAGUUUAGAAAUCGAGAUCACGUAAAUCUACAAGGAAAUCUAAUUCUGCUCCAGUAUUGGGACUGGGAGCACGUGCGUAGUGGCCGAUUGAUGUAUGCUUCUAGACCCCCACCAUUGACCGCACGAUGGGACAAAAUGACGGCUACUUUAAGAAGCGAUGCUUACGACAAAGGAGCACCAUCACAAGGACAGCAAUUUAGUAGCCAGCAAGUAUGUACUCCAAAGACUAUUUGUUUUUGCAAUAUCACAAAUAGGUGUCAUGGAACCUCAUUCAUUUAG